UUAAGCGACUAAGCGUACACGGUGGAUGCCCUGGCAGUCAGAGGCGAUGAAGGACGUGCUAAUCUGCGAAAAGCGUCGGUAAGGUGAUAUGAACCGUUACAGCCGGCGAUGUCCGAAUGGGGAAACCCAGUGCAAUUCGUUGCACUAUCGUUAACUGAAUACAUAGGUUAACGAGGCGAACCGGGGGAACUGAAACAUCUAAGUACCCCGAGGAAAAGAAAUCAACCGAGAUUCCCCCAGUAGCGGCGAGCGAACGGGGAGCAGCCCAGAGUCUGAAUCAGCUUGUGUGUUAGUGGAACGGUCUGGAAAGUCCGACGGUACAGGGUGAUAGUCCCGUACACCAAAAUGCACAGGNUGUGAACUCGAAGAGUAGGGCGGGACACGUGGUAUCCUGUCUGAAUAUGGGGGGACCAUCCUCCAAGGCUAAAUACUCCUGACUGACCGAUAGUGAACCAGUACCGUGAGGGAAAGGCGAAAAGAACCCCGGCGAGGGGAGUGAAAAAGAACCUGAAACCGUGUACGUACAAGCAGUGGGAGCACCUUCGGGUGUGACUGCGUACCUUUUGUAUAAUGGGUCAGCGACUUAUAUUCUGUAGCAAGGUUAACCGUAUAGGGGAGCCGCAGGGAAACCGAGUCUUAACUGGGCGUUAAGUUGCAGGGUAUAGACCCGAAACCCGGUGAUCUAGCCAUGGGCAGGUUGAAGGUUGGGUAACACUAACUGGAGGACCGAACCGACUAAUGUUGAAAAAUUAGCGGAUGACUUGUGGCUGGGGGUGAAAGGCCAAUCAAACCGGGAGAUAGCUGGUUCUCCCCGAAAGCUAUUUAGGUAGCGCCUCGUGAACUCAUCUUCGGGGGUAGAGCACUGUUUCGGCUAGGGGGUCAUCCCGACUUACCAACCCGAUGCAAACUACGAAUACCGAAGAAUGUUAUCACGGGAGACACACGGCGGGUGCUAACGUCCGUCGUGAAGAGGGAAACAACCCAGACCGCCAGCUAAGGUCCCAAAGUCAUGGUUAAGUGGGAAACGAUGUGGGAAGGCACAGACAGCCAGGAUGUUGGCUUAGAAGCAGCCAUCAUUUAAAGAAAGCGUAAUAGCUCACUGGUCGAGUCGGCCUGCGCGGAAGAUGUAACGGGGCUAAACCAUGCACCGAAGCUGCGGCAGCGACACUAUGUGUUGUUGGGUAGGGGAGCGUUCUGUAAGCCUGCGAAGGUGUGCUGUGAGGCAUGCUGGAGGUAUCAGAAGUGCGAAUGCUGACAUAAGUAACGAUAAAGCGGGUGAAAAGCCCGCUCGCCGGAAGACCAAGGGUUCCUGUCCAACGUUAAUCGGGGCAGGGUGAGUCGACCCCUAAGGCGAGGCCGAAAGGCGUAGUCGAUGGGAAACAGGUUAAUAUUCCUGUACUUGGUGUUACUGCGAAGGGGGGACGGAGAAGGCUAUGUUAGCCGGGCGACGGUUGUCCCGGUUUAAGCAUGUAGGCUGNUCCAGGCAAAUCCGGAUAAUCAAGGCUGAGGUGUGAUGACGAGGCACUACGGUGCUGAAGUAACAAAUGCCCUGCUUCCAGGAAAAGCCUCUAAGCAUCAGGUAACAUCAAAUCGUACCCCAAACCGACACAGGUGGUCAGGUAGAGAAUACCAAGGCGCUUGAGAGAACUCGGGUGAAGGAACUAGGCAAAAUGGUGCCGUAACUUCGGGAGAAGGCACGCUGGUGUGUAGGUGAAGUCCCUGCGGAUGGAGCUGAGACCAGUCGAAGAUACCAGCUGGCUGCAACUGUUUAUUAAAAACACAGCACUGUGCAAACACGAAAGUGGACGUAUACGGUGUGACGCCUGCCCGGUGCCGGAAGGUUAAUUGAUGGGGUUAUCCGUAAGGAGAAGCUCUUGAUCGAAGCCCCGGUAAACGGCGGCCGUAACUAUAACGGUCCUAAGGUAGCGAAAUUCCUUGUCGGGUAAGUUCCGACCUGCACGAAUGGCGUAAUGAUGGCCAGGCUGUCUCCACCCGAGACUCAGUGAAAUUGAACUCGCUGUGAAGAUGCAGUGUACCCGCGGCAAGACGGAAAGACCCCGUGAACCUUUACUAUAGCUUGACACUGAACAUUGAGCCUUGAUGUGUAGGAUAGGUGGGAGGCUUUGAAGCGUGGACGCCAGUCUGCGUGGAGCCAACCUUGAAAUACCACCCUUUAAUGUUUGAUGUUCUAACGUUGGCCCCUGACCGGGGUUGCGGACAGUGUCUGGUGGGUAGUUUGACUGGGGCGGUCUCCUCCCAAAGCGUAACGGAGGAGCACGAAGGUUAGCUAAUCCUGGUCGGACAUCAGGAGGUUAGUGCAAUGGCAUAAGCUAGCUUGACUGCGAGCGUGACGGCGCGAGCAGGUGCGAAAGCAGGUCAUAGUGAUCCGGUGGUUCUGAAUGGAAGGGCCAUCGCUCAACGGAUAAAAGGUACUCCGGGGAUAACAGGCUGAUACCGCCCAAGAGUUCAUAUCGACGGCGGUGUUUGGCACCUCGAUGUCGGCUCAUCACAUCCUGGGGCUGAAGUAGGUCCCAAGGGUAUGGCUGUUCGCCAUUUAAAGUGGUACGCGAGCUGGGUUUAGAACGUCGUGAGACAGUUCGGUCCCUAUCUGCCGUGGGCGCUGGAGAAUUGAGGGGGGCUGCUCCUAGUACGAGAGGACCGGAGUGGACGCAUCACUGGUGUUCGGGUUGUCAUGCCAAUGGCACUGCCCGGUAGCUAAAUGCGGAAGAGAUAAGUGCUGAAAGCAUCUAAGCACGAAACUUGCCCCGAGAUGAGUUCUCCCUGAGACU
rnacentral:rRNA from 1 species